rnacentral:rRNA from 1 species
GGCCAAGUUUUUAAGGGCGCACGGUGGAUGCCUUGGCACCAGGAACCGAUGAAGGACGUGGGAGGCCACGAUAGUCCCCGGGGAGUCGUCAACCAGGCUUUGAUCCGGGGGUUUCCGAAUGGGGAAACCCGGCAGUCGUCAUGGGCUGUCACCCUUGCCUGAACACAUAGGGCAAGUGGAGGGAACGCGGGGAAGUGAAACAUCUCAGUACCCGCAGGAAGAGAAAACAACCGUGAUUCCGGGAGUAGUGGCGAGCGAAACCGGAUGAGGCCAAACCGUAUGCGUGUGAGACCCGGCAGGGGUUGCGCAUUCGGGGUUGUGGGAUCUCUCUUUCAUGGUCUGCCGGCCAUGAGACGAGUCAGAAACCGUUGAUGUAGGCGAAGGACAUGCGAAAGGUCCGGCGUAGAGGGUAAGACCCCCGUAGUCGAAACGUCAGCGGCUCGUUUGAGAGACACCCAAGUAGCACGGGGCCCGAGAAAUCCCGUGUGAAUCUGGCGGGACCACCCGCUAAGCCUAAAUAUUCCCUGGUGACCGAUAGCGGAUAGUACCGUGAGGGAAUGGUGAAAAGUACCGCGGGAGCGGAGUGAAAUAGUACCUGAAACCGUGUGCCUACAAGCCGUGGGAGCGUCGGAGUGGAGCUUGCUCCAUUCUCGUGACUGCGUGCCUUUUGAAGAAUGAGCCUGCGAGUUUGCGGUGUGUUGCGAGGUUAACCCGUGUGGGGAAGCCGUAGCGAAAGCGAGUCCGAACAGGGCGACAUAGUAGCGCGCUCAAGACCCGAAGCGGAGUGAUCUAGCCAUGGGCAGGUUGAAGCGGAGGUAAGACUUCGUGGAGGACCGAACCCACCAGGGUUGAAAACCUGGGGGAUGACCUGUGGUUAGGGGUGA